rnacentral:rRNA from 1 species
UACGUAGGGUGCAAGCGUUGUCCGGAAUUAUUGGGCGUAAAGAGCUCGUAGGCGGCCUGUCACGUCGGCUGUGAAAACCCGGGGGCUCAACCCCGGGCCUGCAGUCGAUACGGGCAGGCUAGAGUCCGGCAGGGGAGACUGGAAUUCCUGGUGUAGCGGUGAAAUGCGCAGAUAUCAGGAGGAACACCGGUGGCGAAGGCGGGUCUCUGGGCCGGAACUGACGCUGAGGAGCGAAAGCGUGGGGAGCGAACAGG